ACGAUUAAUCUAAUAAAAUCUUUGUUUGUUAUAAAUAAUAAUUUGAAGUUAAAGUAAAAAUUCUUUAAUUUUUUAAAAAGACGAUAAGACCCUAAAAGCUUUAUUUUUAUUUUUAUGUGUUUAUGUUUAUAUAUGAUUUACGCGAAAGGGUAAUUUUUAACUGGGGUAGUUUUAUCAUUUAAAUUGUUUAAAAUAAUACUUAAGGUUUCAGGAACCUUAAUAUUAAGGUGUUGUUUAAGUUACUUUAGGGAUAACAGCGUUAUAAUUCCGGAGAGAACAUAUCUAUGGAGUUGAUUGCGACCUCGAUGUUGAAUUAAUAAAAUCUUAUUAAAGCAGU
rnacentral:rRNA from 1 species